rnacentral:rRNA from 1 species
CACGGGGGUUGCGAGCGUUGUCCGGAAUUACUAGGCGUAAAGGGCAGGCAGGCGGAUCCAUAAGUUUAUCGUUUAAGGCGUCGGCUUAACCGGCGUAGGGCGGUAGAUACUGUGGAUCUGGAAUGCGGUUGGGGAAGACAGAAUUCCUGGUGUAGCGGUGGAAUGCGCAGAGAUCAGGAGGAAUACCGAAGGCGAAGGCAGUCUUCCAAGCCGUUAUUGACGCUCAACUGCGAAGGUGUGGGUAUCAGACAGGAUUAGAUACCCGGGUAGUCCCUGA